GGUUGUGGCUCAGUGGUAGAGUGCUUGCCUAGUAUGUAUGAGGCGCUGGUUUCGAUUCUCAGCACCA
rnacentral:tRNA from 1 species